GUUUAAGUGGUGGUAGAAUGCAUCAAGAAUGCUUCUUGGAACAAAGGGGGUUGUGUACCUGCAGACACUCCAACGCUCAAGUCAGUAGAGAUCAGAGAGAGGGUUUAGAGGAAGAGAUAAAUCCUACCUUGGGGACUGCUAUGAGUCCCCUAUAUAUAGAGGUGGGGGGCUGCAGAGCCGUUGUAAUGACACACCAGACUCUCGCGGUUUCGAACUUGUGGGAAGUGUAACCGCCAGAGAGAUUAUUGCGGGAACGUGCAGAGAGACGUUGUGGUUCGUUUGAACUAGUCUUGUUCGCUCCGUGCACCCCCUCGUGGAGAAGGGAUGUGUCGCAAGUAAUGUUACCAAACAUGGUGUUUGGGCUUUGAAUAAUAUUGGGCCUAAGUAAAUGGAUCAAAUCUCCUUUUGUCCGAUCCAGAACAGUUACUAUUUUUUAUUUCCAAUAUUAUAUUUAUUCAUACCUAAAAAAAGUAUAUAGAAA
rnacentral:lncRNA from 1 species